UAGUCAUAUGCUUGUUUAAAAGAUUAAGCCAUGCAAGUCUAAGUAUUAAAUUCAAUAUAUCGAAACUGCGAAUAGCUCAUUAGAACACUUAUCAAAAUCACGACUGUUACUUUAUAUGGAUAUCCAUGGUAAUUCUGGAGUUAAUACAUGCUUCUUGUUUUGUCUACAAAACAAUGACCAUGACAUUUCACUUCUUUUGAACUUUGUUCAAUUAUCUGAUUUGCGUGGAGUCAAUAAUCGCGUAUGCGAUCGAUCGUAUGAGUUUGUGACCUAUCAGCUUCUGUCGGUGAGGUAUUGGCUUACCGAGGCUAUAACGGGUAACGGGGAAUUGGGGUUCGAUUCCGGAGAGGGAGCCUGAGAAACGGCUACCACAUCUAAGGGUGGCAGCAGGCGCGCAAAUUACCCAAUCCCGAUUAGGGGAGGUAGUGACCAAAAAUAAUAGCACGAGCAAAUGCUUCGUGACUGUAAUGAGUGCAAUUCACAACUAUGUGCGAGUAUCUAUU
rnacentral:rRNA from 1 species